AAAAUAUUUUGGAAGUAAGUAGAGGUGGGUACACAACAUUGUGAAUGUACUAAAUGUUAAUGAAUUGUUCACUUUAAAAUGGGUUAAUUUUAUGUUAACUUCACCUCAUUAAAAAAAAUUACCACACCAGUGUUGGUUGAGUAUUAAAGCCAAUUUGUUUCUCCUGUUGGAAUUGUUAUGAAGCAUUUUGCCAAGCUCCACUUUUUGUUGCUCAUUUAAAUUAGGUAAGAGCAAAGGAUCUCAAAGUUUGCUGCCAUAGUUGAGAAAUACGUAUUUAUAAAGCAUUUGAAUUCAAGGACUAGCUUCAAAUCAUACAUCUGUCAGUAUUAGCUGUACCUCCCAUCCUUAGCUUAAUAGCAGAUUAAAACAAUUCCAGUUAAGUAACUCACUCAUCUUUACUGAUUAAAUUUCUUAGAUGCAUUUGUUUGGGGGUGGGGUGGAGUACACCAUGUGACUCUGUGCUGGAGGAGGCCAGACAACCACUUGCAGGAGUCCGUUCCCUCUCUGUAUUUCCUGGGGGAUCAAAUUCAGGCCAGCAGACUUGGUGGCAAGCACCUUUACCUACUGUACCAUCUUACCCACCUUCCACCUUAUUUUUUGAUACAGGGCUUUUUGAACCCAGAGCUCUGUUUUAGACUGGCCAGCAAACCUUUAGUAUUUUGUCUCCAUGGCCCCCUCAAGUGUUGAGAUUAUCACUAUGCCAAAUGUUAAGUUUUUUUAAGACAAUGUUUCCCCUGUAACUUUGGCUGUCCUAGAACACACUUUGUACACCAGGCUGGCCUCGAACUCACAGAGAUCUACCUGCCUCUGGCUCCUUAGUGCUGGGACUAAAGGUGUGUACCACUGCCACCUGUCUUGUGCCAAAUUUUUUGCUCAGCUUUUUUUCUGUAGCUGUGAGGAUCCAAACACAGCAGGCACUUGACCCAGCCCCUAAAGAGCUUAUGUUUUGAGGCCACAUUCCAAUCUCUGAAAAGACAGCUUCCUUAGAAAGUUUCAGUUCUUGUGACAGUGAAUUGUCUACACGUUUAAAUCAAGGAUAUUUGAGAGACUUUGGUUACUUCUGUAUAGGGUACAGAAACUUCCUAACAGUAAACAACUGUGGAGUUCUUAAGGAAGAAGGGUGGCUAGGUUCAGAGAGGUGCACUGACACUACAUGAAGAGAAACCAGUUUCAUAGGACCUUAAGAAGGUGUUGGUGAAAGAUAUUUUACAGUAGUGUAUUCUUUUGUUUGAAGAUUUAUUUAUUUAUUAUGUGAGUACACUGUAGCUGUCUUCAGACACUCCAGAAGAGGGCAUCAGGUUUCGUUACAGAUGGUUGUGAGCUACCAUGUGGUUGCUGGGAUUUGAACUUGGGACCUUUGGAAGAGCAGUCGGCACUCUUAACCACUGAGCCAUCUCGCCAGCCCCAGUAGUGUAUUCUACACAACUAACUGAGGACGUUUUUAUUUUUCUUUGAGGUCUCACACAGUUAACCCAGGCUGGACUUGUGAGAGUUCUGCCCUAGCCUCUAAAGUGCAUUUUUUGAUUUCUCAUUUCCUUUUUUUUCUUUCUUUUUUUUUUUUUUUGGACUUAUUUAUUUUAUGAAUGAGUACACUGUCUUCAGACACACCAGAAGAGGGCAUCAGAUCCCAUUAUAGAUGGUCGUGAGCUACCAUGUAGUUGCUGGGAACUGAACUCAGGACCUCAGGAAGAGCAGCCAGUGCUCUUAAUCGCUGAGCCAUCUCUCCAGCCCUGAUUUCUCAUUUUCAAAAAUAUUUCAUAGGAAGAACUGGGCAUGAACCCCAGCUCUUAAUCCCAGCACUAGGGAGGUAGUGGCAUAGAACCAGAAAGCCAAAGCCAGUGUAGGCCACAUGAGAACUUGUUUCAAAGAAAGUUGGAAAAGUGAAAGCCAUUUUAAAAGCUUCCCGGUGUUACCAGUGUGGUAACACAUGGCUUUAAUGCCAGUACUCUGGAGGCAAAGGGAUUCCUGGUCAUCUACAUAGUGAGUUUUAGACCAUACAGUGAGUGCUGUUUCAAACAACUGGAGACUUUUAGAUCUAUAUGAUUAUUCUUGUUGCCCUUUAAUGGGAGGAAAACAACCUUAUGUUAUCUCCCAGAGAUAAUUAUGGCAUUUUCCCAGUGUCAUUGUCUUAAGUUUGGAAAGACAGAUCAACAGUGCUUAGAUGUGGGCAUGAUGACUCAUUUGUCAGAUUUCAGCAUUUAAGAGACGGCCAGCCGUGGAAGAAUAUUUAGAAAACAAGAUGAGCAUGGUAACACACAUCUGAAGUCUUACCUCUUGGGAGGCUAAAGCGGGAAGAUUGUGAGUUCAAGGCCAUCCAGGUCAACAUGAGUCCUAAUCUAACCUGUCUCAAAAGAAAAAUGUUAAAGUCAAGACAACAAGUAGAGUUAGUUUUAUAAGAACAUAGUGGUAAGGGUUAUUAGGUUCUUACAGUCAUCUUUUAUAUAGUUCAAAUCAGCCUGUGCUACAUAGACCUUGUCUCAACAACAAAAGAGAUUGAAUAUGCAGUCAUUCAUGGUGUAUCCUUUUAAUCCCAACACUCUGGAGCCAAAGGUAGGUGAGUUCUAGGUCAGCCUGGGAUAUGUAAUGAGUUCCAGGACAGCCCGGGAUACAUAGUGGGACCCUGUCUUAAAUGAAAGUAAAAAGGUGGACUGGAGAAAUGGCCCAGCAGUUAAGAAUACAUACUGCUUCCAGAGGCCCAAACACCCAGUUCGGUUCCCAACACAUUAGAUGGCUGACAAACACCUGUAACUCCAGCCCCAGGGAAUCUCAUGCCUUCUGGCCUCCAAGGGCCUUUGUAAUUACAUGCACAUGCUUGCACACAGGUACACACACACAUACAUUUUAAAAAAUAUAAAAAAGAACUAAGAAUUGGCAAUAAUUUGGUGACAAACAAGUGAUUAUAGUAAUUUUAUAUAGAAGAUCUAACUCCUGUUCAUCUUUGGGUAUAUUGACCACAGGAUAAUGGGCAAUAAAGAACUCACUAGUAUGCCUUUAUGUGUAUUUAACCUUAUUUAAAUAAACUUCAUAGAGCAAUGUUAUAUUUAUCACCUAUAAGAUUUUUUUAGUUGUGCAGGAUGGCGGGGAUAUGAAUAAUGAAAGAAUUCAAGACAUAAAAAGCCACAAGAAGAGGGUUUAUUAUGCAAGAAAUAACUUUUGUUGAGGCAGGGGUGUUUUGUGCAGGUAGUGAAGCAGUGUUUCAAUGAUGCAGUGCCCUGGAACAUUUGUAGUUGGGGCUUAUGAUAGGUAAAGUUAACUCUUUCUGACCAGGUAACAGUCAUUAGUGGCCUUGCUUUGAAAAGCCCAUCCUGCCUUAUUCUGAGGCAUGGAGGCAGGGGGCAACGAGUUCACUGCCAGCCAAGACUAUAGUGAAACCCUGUCUCAAAAGAGACCCCAAACAAAAUCCACAGCAUAGCUGAGCCAUGUACACACCUUUCAAUCCCAGCAUUCAGGAGGCUGAAGCAGAAGGAACCAGGGAGCUUGAGGCCAGCUUGGGCUACAUACUUAGUAUGUUCCGGGCCUUACCAGAUGGUACAAGACAUCAAUUUUAAAAACAGGAAUGAAUGAAAAAAAAUCAAGUAAUCCAAUAUUCAAAUGUGCAUUUCACUGAAUAAAUUUUGCUUUUUACUUA